AUCUUUUUAUUACUGUGCCCACUUGUGACAAAGCUUUCUGGAAGACAGAGUGUCCUUAAAAAGGGGGAAGAUAAACCUUGAUCUGUGUCUUUAAUGUAUUAUAUAUGUCUUUUAAAUAUGAGUCCAACUGCUACAAGUUUUGCUACUUGAAAGAAUUAACAUGUGAAAGAUGCGACUUGUCCCUCUCUUUCCUGACAUUGCCUAUUCAGCGCAGAGGAGACAGUGUUAUUUAAUGGCUGUGUCUGUGCCAACCGUCUCUCUCUCUCUCUCUCUCCCUCUUGCUCCCUCCCUCCCUCUCUCCCUCCCUCCCUCCCUCCCUCGUUUCGGUCUCUCCCACUUGGCAGCCAGGCCAAAGUGGGCAGGGAGAUUGCAGAAAGAAAACAGUUUACAGAGAAAACGGAGGCCGCAAAGCUGCCUGGGCCUGGAGCCACAUCCCCUGUUUGAGUGUGACUGACUGUGAGCGCACCCCUCUGCCUUUUCUCUCCCUUUGCAGAGAAGCACGGGGCAAACCAACGUGUUCUCCAGUCCGCGCCCAAGUUUCGCCAUGACCCUUUCGGCUUCAGUCUCCUGAGAUCCUCACCCUCUCACCUUAUACCCAUCACACCUCCAGGAAAUGGAGUUUGCUUACCAGGACAUAACCUCUUUUUUGAUGCUGUCCUUGGGGCUGAGGUAGUAGAUUGAAUAGUUGUGGGGAAUCAUUCCUUCUUGUGUGAUAACUAUACAAUCUACUGUCUUUCCUAAGGAGACAGCCGAAUCACCUAUAAGAAAAAGACUAAAGGUGGAACUCCACAAAUAAAAAGCCAAGGACAAGAUGGAAUGGCAUUCAAAAGGGCAUUUUGAUACUCAGAAUUGUUCGAUGGCCUUAUUACUGCAGUAUGAAUGCUCAUAUCUAGAAAAGAGUUGAACUAUAUUAUUUUA